GCGGCCGAUUGCAAAUGUGGUGUGUGGGACGUCGGUUCGGAGGCCACGGUCCCGCUGCGCGAGUCCAGCUAGACAAGGCAGCGUUACCCGAAGCGGGUGGAAGGCCCAUAGGCAGCACGGAGACCGUGGUUUAUCCGUCGGACGCCCUCCGAGUCGGGUUGUUUGGGAUUGCAACCUAAAGCGGGUGGUAAACUCCAUCUAAGGCUAAAUACCGGCACGAGUCCGACAGCAAACAAGUACCGCGAGGGAAAGUUGAAAAGAACUUUUAAGAGAGGGUUCAAGAGAGCGUGAAACCGUCUAGAGGUAAAGCGGGUGGUCCCGGACAGUCUGCGGGGAACCGACAGGCCGACGGAACUCCGGCGCCGUCGAUGGCAAACACUCGGCGCCGGGCGCGGAAGCCCCACAUGUUCCCCAACAGAGCGUCGCGAUGGCUCGGCCGGCGGCGCAAUGCCCCGAGGAAGGUAGGACGUGCGUUUUUAGUAGCAGGCGGACGUUCCGGCGUCCGCUGGAAGCGCACCGACCCCCUCUGCAGUCCCUUAUAGCCUCGGGGAGAAGGCCGCCGGGCGGAGCUCUCUGGCGUC
rnacentral:rRNA from 1 species